UUCCAGACUCCUACGGGAGGCAGCAGUGAGGAAUAUUGGUCAAUGGGCGCGAGCCUGAACCAGCCAAGUCGCGUGAGGGAGGACGGCCCUACGGGUUGUAAACCUCUUUUGCCGGGGAGCAACGGGCGUCACGUGUGGCGCCACUGAGAGUACCCGGAGAAAAAGCAUCGGCUAACUCCGUGCCAGCAGCCGCGGUAAUACGGAGGAUGCGAGCGUUAUCCGGAUUUAUUGGGUUUAAAGGGUGCGUAGGCGGAUCGUUGAGUCAGUGGUCAAAUUGAGGGGCUCAACCCCGUCGUGCCGUUGAAACUGGCGUUCUUGAGUGAGCGAGAAGUAUGCGGAAUGCGUGGUGUAGCGGUGAAAUGCAUAGAUAUCACGCAGAACUCCGAUUGCGAAGGCAGCAUGCCGGCUCCACACUGACGCUGAGGCACGAAAGCGUGGGUAUCGAACAGGAUUAGAUACCCUUGUAA
rnacentral:rRNA from 1 species